CACCGGAGUAGAAGCGGCAGGCGGCGGCUAUGAAGUUCGCCGCCAGGCAUUGCUCCAAUG
rfam:Marinobacter nanhaiticus D15-8W genomic scaffold super1, whole genome shotgun sequence.